UGGGCCUACAGCUAAUAGUGGUUAUCCUGCCUGGAAAGACACCAGUAUAUGGUAUGGACCCUUUUAAUGCUGAAUGAGGGAUGAUUUCAAGCAGUAGAUAUAACAGUCAGGAUAAGCUAGGUUAUGCUGCAGUCACAAACCUCAAACUCUCAGUGGUUCACAACAACAAAGAUUUGUUUCUUGCUCCUGUUAUGCAUCCACUGAAGGUAGACUGCGGCUUCUGCUCUGUGUCAUCAUGUCAUCUCCAUUUGGGGACCCAGCUUGGCAGAGCAGCUGCUAUUUGGAAUGUUGCUGGCCCCACAUUCUUUUUUCU
rnacentral:lncRNA from 10 species